rnacentral:rRNA from 1 species
GUGAACGCUGGCGGUAGGCCUAACACAUGCAAGUCGAACGGCAGCACAGUAAGAGCUUGCUCUUACGGGUGGCGAGUGGCGGACGGGUGAGGAAUACAUCGGAAUCUACUUUUUCGUGGGGGAUAACGUAGGGAAACUUACGCUAAUACCGCAUACGACCUACGGGUGAAAGCAGGGGAUCUUCGGACCUUGCGCGAUUGAAUGAGCCGAUGUCGGAUUAGCUAGUUGGCGGGGUAAAGGCCCACCAAGGCGACGAUCCGUAGCUGGUCUGAGAGGAUGAUCAGCCACACUGGAACUGAGACACGGUCCAGACUCCUACGGGAGGCAGCAGUGGGGAAUAUUGGACAAUGGGCGCAGGCCUGAUCCAGCCAUACCGCGUGGGUGAAGAAGGCCUUCGGGUUGUAAAGCCCUUUUGUUGGGAAAGAAAAGCAGCAGGUUAAUACCCCGCCGUUCUGACGGUACCCAAAGAAUAAGCACCGGCUAACUUCGUG